UACGUAGGGGGCUAGCGUUGUCCGGAAUCAUUGGGCGUAAAGAGCGCGUAGGCGGCCCGGUAAGUCCGCUGUAAAAGUCAAAGGCUCAACCUUUGAAUGUCAGUGGAUACUGCCGGGCUAGAGUCCGGAAGAGGCGAGUGGAACUCCUGGUGUAGCGGUGGAAUGCGCAGAUAUCAGGAAGAACACCAACGGCGAAGGCAGCUCGCUGGGACGGUACUGACGCUGAGGCGCGAAAGCGUGGGGAGCAAACAGG
rnacentral:rRNA from 1 species